rnacentral:rRNA from 1 species
ACGUAGGAGGCGAGCGUUAUCCGGAUUUACUGGGUGUAAAGCGCGUGCAGGCGGUUUGGAAAGUUGGAUGUGAAAGCUCCCGGCUUAACUGGGAGAGGUCGUUCAAAACUACCAGACUAGAGAGUGGUAGAGGGAGGUGGAAUUCCGGGUGUAGUGGUGAAAUGCGUAGAUAUCCGGAGGAACACCAGUGGCGAAAGCGGCCUCCUGGACCAUUUCUGACGCUCAGACGCGAAAGCUAGGGGAGCGAACGG